rnacentral:rRNA from 1 species
CCUACGGGAGGCAGCAGUGGGGAAUAUUGGACAAUGGGCGCAAGCCUGAUCCAGCAAUGCCGCGUGGGUGAAGACGGCCUGCGGGUUGUAAAGCCCUUUAGGCGGGGAAGAACGGCCGGGCGCGAAUAGCGCGCGGCUCUGACGUUACCCGCAGAAUAAGCACCGGCUAACUCCGUGCCAGCAGCCGCGGUAAU